GUGGUCCAAUAUAUUUGUUUAUAAGCAGCUCGUAUAAAACUGGCGAAAUUCCCCUCGAGAAACUGAUCUCUAUGGAGAAAUGAAAGCAAUACACGCAUGAAUGCGAAAUAAGUUGCAAUGUUCACUUAACGUUAAAGCCCUCACUUUAGCAGUUGGUUCAUAGGAACUAUGGAUUGGUGCUGAUAAUUACCAAGUUGAAUUCCCUUUUAACUACAUGUUGAAUGAUACUUGGAGCUUGUUCUCACGAAUUAGUUUCUGCUGUGACUUAGUGAGUAAUGACCGCCCCUACAGUCCGGGCAGAACUGUACAGAUCAUUUGCUUUCCCGUAAAUUGCAUUCUGUUAAACGCCAGGAGUUUCCGCUGUGUACUUCGAGAUCAACACUCCAAGUUGCUAUGAGGGAGCCACUUUAUCGGGAGUCCAGUACACCACAAGCAAUUACUGGCCAAACCCGUGUGGUGCUUUUGUCAGGAGAGUGAGCACUGAUUUUCUCAACCCUGGUACCUGUUGUGGGAAAUGUGGUAUUUAAGCAAUGAAGCAUUGUCGGUAAAUAUCGCUAGCCCACGUACAUUUUCUGGCACUUGCGUCUGUUUUACGCAACCAUUUCUCUUCAAAACGGAAGUCCCUCCCUUGUGUCGCUUGUAUUAGUGCGAACCUUCUGUCGGGCCCUAGCGCCUCCUGUUAUUGUCACCCAAAGAAACGUUUACUUUCCCACCACAGCAUAGCACAGCUAACAAAGGGGCCAACAUUUGUCCACAGGACACAUCACAACAACAUUAUUUUAAAACAGCUUGUUCAGGAAACGUAAACUAAGUACACUGAAUAAAUAUUGAAUAAAAACAUUUGGUGAGUGCAUUAUCGUGUUUCCUGAAAUUCCUAAUUAUUAUACACAAGUUAACAUAGGUUGUGAAAAGAUUAUUAUGCAAGCAAUGCGAACGUGUUAUCGAUAUUUAUAUUUAACGGUCCAUUAUCUUGUGUCAAACGUUGGUAAGGUCGCAAAACGUUUUACUUUGAAGAAGAACAAUCAUAAUAAUGGCGAGUUUUGACCUGGAACCAGCAUGCUUAAACAGUUACAACCGUCCUCUUUCAUUGACCCAAGUGGUUAAAUGCAGGCUCAGGAAAAGUUCCCUCGCAAUUUAAUGGAGCAGAGGCAUUACCAUUAAUUAAUGUACUGAGAAUGUAUAAAAUAAAACCACCUUUUUAAAAAAAA